ensembl:lncRNA
UAACUAUACUUUUUGCUUCAACAAAAGAUUCUUUAUCCAUUGAAGAUUGAUUAGUUACUUGAAAUAUAUGGUUUAUAGCAUUAAUCUCAAACUCAAUUCCUGGAGGGCCACAGCUCUGCACAGUUUAGCGCCAACUCUAAUCAAACACACCUGAUCCAGCUAAUCAAGCUCUUCAGGAUUACUAGAAACUUCCAAGCAGGUGUGAUUUGGAGCUGGUUGGAGCUAAACUCUGCAGAGCUGUGGCCCUCUAGGAAUUGAGUUUGAGACCACUGGUUUAUAGGCACAUAAGCACUUCUAAUCACAUCCUGCUCCAGUGAGACCAACUGCCAUUGAGAUGAAUGGAGAUGCUAACGGCUAACAGCUUCCUCCAGGUUAUUGUACUGGGACUUUAUUUCCCACGAGUCGCACCUGCUGUCGCCUCUGGAGCUCACUGUGUGUUCAGUGCUGAUGGAACGCAGAGCGGACGCAGCCUGACAUCUGAGAACGCUGAGAUCUCACGUCUAAAAGAACACAAGGAUUACCUUUAUUUUCAUCCACCCAGUGGAUCAUUUCGUAGAGAUAUGCAGAAGUGAUCUGAAAGUUAAACGUACUGUAGCUGUCAUAAACAGUGAUAAGGGGCUGUUAUUCCUGAAGAAAGUCUAAAUCACCUCACUGGGAGUUAGUCGCCUGGAUACUUGGAAGUAUACAUAGUUUGAAAUCCACCAUUGUUGUAAUGGACACUCAUCUCUGGACGCUCAGCUCGGGACACACCGUUUUGCUGAGCCCAUCAG